rnacentral:rRNA from 1 species
UCCCGAGCGUUNUCCGGAUUUAUUGGGCGUAAAGGGAGCGCAGGCGGUUUAGUAAGUCUGAAGUUAAAGGCAUUGGCUCAACCAANGUAUGCUUUGGAAACUGUUAGACUUGAGUGCAGAAGGGGAGAGUGGAAUUCCAUGUGUAGCGGUGAAAUGCGUAGAUAUAUGGAGGAACACCGGUGGCGAAAGCGGCUCUCUGGUCUGUCACUGACGCUGAGGCUCGAAAGCGUGGGUAGCGAACAGGAUUAGAUACCCUGGUAGUCCACGCCGUAAACGCUGAGUGCUAGGUGUUAGGUCCUUUCCGGGACUUAGUGCCGACGCUAACGCAUUAAGCACUCCGCCUGGGGAGUACGACCGCAAGGUUGAAACUCAAAGGAAUUGACGGGGGCCCGCACAAGCGGUGGAGCAUGUGGUUUAAUUCGAAGCAACGCGAAGAACCUUACCAGGUCUUGACAUCCCGAUGCCCGCUCUAGAGAUAGAGUUUUUCUUCGGAACAUCGGAGACAGGUGGUGCAUGGUUGUCGUCAGCUCGUGUCGUGAGAUGUUGGGUUAAGUCCCGCAACGAGCGCAACCCUUAUUGUUAGUUGCCAUCAUUAAGUUGGGCACUCUAGCGAGACUGCCGGUAAUAAACCGGAGGAAGGUGGGGAUGACGUCAAAUCAUCAUGCCCCUUAUGACCUGGGCUACACACGUGCUACAAUGGUUGGUACAACGAGUCGCAAGCCGGUGACGGCAAGCUAAUCUCUGAAAGCCAAUCUCAGUUCGGAUUGUAGGCUGCAACUCGCCUACAUGAAGUCGGAAUCGCUAGUAAUCGCGGAUCAGCACGCCGCGGUGAAUACGUUCCCGGGCCUUGUACACACCGCCCGUCACACCACGAGAGUUUGUAACACCCAAAGUCGGUGA